CCAAAUAUUCCUUCCAAGUUUUGAGUCAACUGUCAAGGGUCAACAGUUUCUUUGAAUCCCCGUGUCAUGGUGGACUGUAGAAGGCAAAGCUCUGCACGAGUUUGGUAAAGGGACAAAAUUGAAAAAGAACUCACUCUUUAUAGUUAGUUAUAGACUUAUGGAUAUGGUUAAGUGGCAACCCCUCAAAGAAGAAACUCAAGCUCUAGCAAGUCACAACACAUGUAACCUCCUCAUCGCGUACAUGUGUGCCAAACCCAAUCUGUGUUAUAUAUAAAAAGUGACUGAGGUUGUUGAAGAAAAUCUUGGCCCUUUUCAUGUUCUUCAGAUUACUUACUACUAAUCUCUCUUUCUCGGAUGAAAGGCAUCAUGAGUGGUGUGGAUCCAGCUUCUGUGAGCAAAGGAAUGAAGAAACAAGAGAAUCACAAAAACCACUUCAAUAGAGAUGUCAUGCUGGGGAGUGAUCUUUGGACUGAUGGACUAAUUUGUGCUUUUGAAUUUAUUCGAGGCCAUAGGAAGACCCGAUCAGUACAAGAUAUGGCCAAGAAGCAGGUUUCAUCAAGUGAACUAAAUAGUUGUUUACCCCCGAAAGGUAGUGGGGAGAACUUUUGUAAAUCUGCACCCCAAUUAUACUCUGGAAUUGGUGAUAGUGAUAUGGUUGACGAUCAUACUGAUAGCAAGGAUUAUCAAUCAGGCUGUUACCAUGGGAAGGAAGAAUUCCCGAGAAGUUACUGGAUACCGAUAGGUUGGGCUAGAAUUUCUGAACUUGUCCAGAAAGUGCAAGUUGAUGUUGGCUGGGCCUUGCAGCCUUUCAACUUCUCAGAUGAUGAAGAUGAUGUGACUGUUGCAGAUGUGGCCGCUCCUUACUGGGAACGCCCAGUGGGACGCACUUGGUGGUGUCACGUAGAUGCAGGUCACCCAAACAUAAGUGCCUGGUUGAGUAAUGCUCAAUGGUUGCAUCCUGCUAUUAGCAUUGCUUUGCGAGAUGAAAGUAAGCUGAUAAGUGAGCGAAUGAAGCACCUUCUAUAUGAGGUUCCUGUUAGAGUUUCUGGGGGACUAUUAUUUGAGCUCCUGGGGCAGUCGGCAGGAGACCCAUUUGUUGAUGAGGAUGAUAUCCCCAUUGUUCUUCGGUCAUGGCAGGCACAAAAAUUUCUAGUAACAGCUUUGCAUGUCAAAGGGUCAGCGUCAAAUAUAAAUGUGUUGGGUAUUGCAGAAGUCCAGGAACUGCUUGCUGCUGGAGGUACUAACAUACCAAGAACUGCUCAUGAGCUCGUUGCACAUCUAGCUUGUCGCCUUGCCCAAUGGGAUGAUAGGUUAUUUCGCAAAUGUAUAUUUGGGGCUGCCGAUGAAGUUGAGUUGAAGUUUAUGGACAGGAGAAACCAUGAGGAUAUGCAUCUUUUCAGUGUAAUUCUGAAUCAGGAAAUCAGAUGGUUAUCAAACCAGGUUAUCAGGGUGAAAUGGUCACUCCAUGCAAGAGAGGAAAUUGUGUUUGAGCUUCUUCUACAUUUGCGAGGCAAUACAACAAGGGGCUUGCUAGAAGGAAUGAGAAAGAGCACCAGGGAAAUGAUUCAAGAGCAGGAAGCAGUUCGUGGACGCUUAUUUACCAUUCAAGAUGUCAUGCAGAGCACAGUCCGCGCAUGGUUGCAGGACAGAAGCCUCACUGUUACGCAUAAUUUAGGAGUUUUUGGGGGAUGUGGCCUUGUUCUUUCCAUCAUUACUAGCCUUUUUGGGAUAAAUGUCGAUGGCAUACCUGGAGCUGAUGGGUCUCCAUAUGCAUUUCUUCUAUUUUCUGGCAUCCUCUUCUUGCUAGGAAUUGUGUUAAUUGCGAUUGGGUUGCUGUACCUUGGGUUGAAAAACCCCAUUAUUCAAGAGGAUGUUGAAACGAGAAAAUUAGAGCUCCAAGAGCUGGUUAGGAUGUUUAAGCGAGAAGCAGAAUCCCAUGCACAAUUACGAAAGACUGCUCCUCGGUCCAAUAUGUCUCCAACUGCUGCAGAUAGACUUCCUGAUGGUGCAAAUUAUGUUCUCAUCAGCUAAUCACAGGAAUCCAAAUCUAUCCCUUUGUUUUGCAGAUCUUUCUAUCUUUUCUCUCUCUGUUCAGGGAAAGUUGAGCCGUUGAGGAUCUCCUUCUCAGUCACUGGGUGCUAGAUAUGACAAGGUUCCAGAAUCACUCAAAUAUAAAUCUUGAUUGCGCUUAAUUGUGGAAACAAUGAGAAGAAAAUCCAAGAAAUUGCUGAGAAUCUCUCCAGAUCAGAAUCUAAAGGACAUGCUGGCUUUUGGGGAAAGGGUUGGAGAAUGUUAGAUGCGCAUUAGUGCUUGUUAAUGAUGAUCUGAUUGUUAUGAAACAAACGGCCUUCUGCAUAUACCUCUUGCUUCUGGGAUGUAUUUUCAAAUAAACUGCCUCUCUCUCUCUCUCUGUACUCAAGAAAUUUCUCUUCAAAUAGGUUCCUUUUUCAAUUUCCAGUUGGAGUUAGAGCUCUCAUUUCGACACUUCUAUCACCAUAAUAUAAGAUUGCCUUACUUCCAUUA